UACGGAGGGUGCAAGCGUUGCUCGGAAUUACUGGGCGUAAAGCGCGUGUAGGCGGUCUCGUGUGUCUGGCGUGAAAGCCCCGGGCUCACCCCGGGAAGUGCGUUGGAAACUGCGAGACUAGAGUUCCGGAGAGGAAGGUGGAAUUCCAGGUGUAGCGGUGAAAUGCGUAGAUAUCUGGAAGAACACCGGUGGCGAAGGCGGCCUUCUGGACGGUGAAUGACUCUGAGACGCGAAAGCGUGGGGAGCAAACAGG
rnacentral:rRNA from 1 species